rnacentral:lncRNA from 10 species
GUGACGGGCACCCUCUACCGGGGAUGACACAUUCCCAGAGCUCCUGGGACCAAGCAAAUGGCGGACACAAUUCCCUGGGCGGAAGGGGACUUCGGGAGCCAGUAGCCAAGAUGGCCCCAGCGCACCCCUGGAGGCUCCUGAGCCUCGGAAGCCGGUGACAGCCCAGGAGCGCCAGCGGGAGCGGGAGGAGAAGCGGCGGAGGCGGCAAGAACGAGCCAAGGAGCGGGAGAAACGGCGGCAGGAGCGGGAGCGAAAGGAACGGGGGGCUGGGGCCUCUGGGGGCCCCUCCACUGACCCCUUGGCUGGACUAGUGCUCAGUGACAAUGACAGAAGCCUGUUGGAACGCUGGACUCGAAUGGCCCGGCCCGCAGCCCCAGCCCUCACCUCUGUGCCGGCCCCUGCCCCAGCGCCAACGCCA